rfam:Schistosoma margrebowiei strain Zambia genome assembly, scaffold: SMRZ_contig0005162
AUCUUGCUGAUGAGUCCCAAGUAGGACAAAACGCGCAUCCCAGAU